CUGGGGUCAGGACAUAGUGCAGGAGCAGGAUCAGGGCUCAGGGUCAAGGCUCAAUGUGCAACUGCAGUCAGGACACAGUGUGGGGUGAAGGUUGGGGCUCAGCUAGCACCAGAGUAGAGGCUGUGUCCAGGUUAAGACUGUAACGCAAGACAGAAAACACACACAGCCAUACGAGGCCACUGUCAGCCGUGCUGGGUAUCUUUAUUUAUUAAGCUUUAUUUUCUGUAGAAGCAAGGUUUUGCUAUGCUGUCCAGGCUGGUCUCGAACUCCUGGCCUCAAGUGAUCUUCCUGCCUCAGCCUCCCAAAGUGCUGUGAUUACAGGCAUGAGCCACUGUGCCCAGGCCAUGGUGGGUAUUUUUAAUGGACAAGAACCCAGAAUGAAGAUCUACAGAGGCUUCCUGGAGGUGGUGGGACUGAGGUCAUCUGGUUUGGCAGGAUGGAAGGCCAGCUUUCCCAGGGUGGAACCAUCAGAGUGGAGGCCCCGCCCAGAACCAACAGCAGCACCAUGCGCACCCAUAGAAGGGGUAGCCUGGAGGGAGGCCAGGCGUGCGCAGAAGGCAGCUGGACAUGUGGCUACACCUCAGGUUCUUUCAUAGACAAGUUACUGACACAUUGCUGGCUCCAGGGGAAAACGCAAAACGAGGAAAAGGCCCCUCUCCCUGCUCUCAGGGAUGCUGUAGUCUUUUGACUCUCGGCUGUGCCAGAGCUUCCCCGGAAUCAAAGGAGGUAAUGGAGGAAGAAGGAUCUGAAGACGCAGGGAAGUGCCCAGGCCCCCGCAGGGAGGCUGAAAGCAGCGGUGCCUGCCACGCCCGAGAAGCAGGCUCCAACUCACGUGCUCGUCAGCAGCCGCACUGCUGCCUGCUUUGUCAUUUUAUGCUUAUGUAAAAAAAUACUUUUUGCAAGAAAAAUCUACAGGUACAAAAUGUCAUCCCAGCCCCAUACAGUACCAAGUAAUAUAUAGGCAUAUAUAUAUAUAUAUAUAUAUUUAUGUAUUUAUAACAGAAAAUUGGAUAGAAAUUAUUCCA
rnacentral:lncRNA from 10 species